CAUCACCACCUUUACAGGGAACAGGUGUAAGUGCUCACAGGAGAAGGCUCAAGUGUACCCUGUUGACAGAAAUAAAUGAGUGCUGGUGGUGGGGAGGCUCAUGCAUGUGAGAAGAUGGAGCAGCACUCUAGCAGGGAUGCUUUUUUCUGCAGAAGAUGUGAUCCUUCAGUACUUUAUGCAUUGCCACCAGCAGCAGGACAGCCUGGCAUCCCUGGCACCAGCAAGGACACGCAGCAGUGACAGGAGCCAUACCCUGCCUGCCUCCCCUUCUCUAAGCAUGGCUGUGUCUCUGUAAGCUAACUUAAGUGAGUGCCACACAAGCAGACGAGAUAUAGCCUGAACUGCAUUUGCAUCUGUGGUAGUCUGAGGAAAAACAAAGCAGGGAUGUUUAAUUCUAGAAGUUGUCCUGAAUCACACCUUCUCCAUAAAUAACAAAAGUAGCUGAAGGAAAACUACUCCAGCUUUGCUGCUUUCUCCAUAGCAUGAGAGCAAUGUCUGAGGCACUCAGCACUGGGACGGUGGGAACCUAGCUGAUUUACAGCCUUCCUAGGGGUGCUGAGCUCAAGCCACACAUGGUCUCUCCCUUGGUUUUACCAAGCAUAAAGGUGAGCUUGCCACAACUCGAGAUCUUUCUGAGAAUUUAUUGAGUUACUGCUGUGCUGGGGAGAAGCCGUCGCCCCAUGCCAGUGUGCUCCUGGAGGGUGCGUGCUGCUCACUGUCCACCUGAAGGUGCAACCGUGAGACACACUUGAUGCAGCCUGCCUACUCCAUAGGAUUUCCUGGUAUUUUGAGGAGACGGAAAGCAAAAUGUAAUGCUCUAGUGCUUUAAAGGAGGACUGAGCAUUGGUGGGAGGCUUGUUCAGUAUCUGAGUGGGAUCAUGACUACGAUGUUCAUCUGCAUGUUACCGGCGUGAAAAUACGCAAUUGGGAGCGGUUUGAAGACGAGUGGGCUUGGAAGAAAGGAAAACUAUUCCAGGGAGGGAGGAGGAAGGGACUGCUAACGUUUGCAGCAUGAAGAUCAUGGAGAAGAUGGAGAUAUCAGAACAGGAUAAUUUGCAGGAGGAGGAAAUCAGGCAUAGAUCAUUAGCGCUUUAUGGGAGGCAACCCUAAAAGCAUGCUGAGAGGAUGGUAUUUCCCCUCUGGGCAGCAGCAGGCAGUGCCAAACCCGCCUGCUGCAGAGGCAGGAGGUUACCAGCCAACCCAGCACACACCGACCCCGUGGGACCUUUCUUUCAAGCACGCCAUGAGCGUGCUGGCAUGUAGAGAUGCUGGCAGCCACGUUUCACAGCAGCGAUGACGCAAUAUGGCUCUUGUUUCAGAAGCAUCUCCUUCAAGUUGACAGAUACUGUUAGCGUCUGAUUCUGCUCGGAUUGCCAGCGCCAGGGUUUGAGACGCUUUCCCGAUGAGCUCUGAAGGAGCAGUAAGUGCACGGUGGCUGUGAAAAGCCUUCCAGGCUGCGCUUAGCAGGACAGCCAGCUGCACGCUUCGAGUAUGUGAAAAAGCCAACAAAUAACAGCUCGCUGCUUUUGCCCGGCGCUUUAAGCCAGGGAAGGAAUGUUUGCAGCUCACUUGGGAUUUGGUUGUGUUUGGUGGGUUGGUUCAAGGCACCAGGACCUUCCAGCAAUGCUCCUCCAGUAUUCUUCACAUUCUUUUGUCUGAGAGAGGGGAAAAUGUAUGACUGAUUCUUGCUUAAUUAGGCCUCAUCUGCUAAACAGUUUUGUCACUAUUUACAUACGAGUAGUCCCGCUGAAGUCAAGUCCUACAGCUGUAUACUUCAUCUGGUAACAAUGUAAAUCCAAGAUAAACAUACUUGGAACAAGAGAAGUACAUUACCUUAUAUGUACGAACCACCUGAACAUAGCAAGCCCUGCGCAGCGCAGCUCUGGCAGAGGCCAACAGCUAUGCUGUCUCAGCACCCUGCAAGCAGAACACCUGAUUGUCGCUCUUAAAUUUUGGACCGGACUCGAUGAGCUAGGGCUGACUUUUGCUGAAGCGUACGGCUUGCCACACGAAUGACUUUGAAAUAACUGUGCCCUUCUGUGAUAAGCUGAGAAGUUGUUCUCUCCAGCUACUCGCAUCAAGUGGUGUCUCAUAGCUGGGUCUCCCAUGGCCUGGAGAUCUGUUCUUCUAGAGAUAAAAGAGUCAGGGAUGAGAGGUAGGAGAAGUAAACGGCUGGAAAACCCAGUGAACAUCUGGGUUUAAUCUCUUCAUUCCCUCCUCAGUGCCCCUCCUGCAGGAGUCUCUAUGAAGGACCUGGCAGCGGCCUUUCCCUGCUGUUUCUCUGUGACCACUGACAUCCUGCCCCUUGUCCCCCAGAACAGUGUGGACUGUUUGGUCACCGGUGAGCAUCCCUAUGGGAUUAUGACCACUUUAUCCAACAGCCUCCUCUUCUGCUAGGUAACUCCCAUGCAUUUGGGCAUCCUGUAUUACUCUACCCAUGACCUUUUGUUCUUCCAUACUUUUUAUUUCUGUUAUCCCGAUUACUAUACUUUUUUUUUUUUUUUCCCCUAUGAAUUACUUCAGAUCGAUAUGAUGGAAGUGAUGAAGAGCAGAACACCCCUUCAGCUUAAUUUGGUCUGAUACCCUGAGACCAUCAGCUGUUAUCUACCACAGUGAGGUGGAGGGCUUGGGUUGAGUUAUCCUAAGCAGUUUCCCAGGAGCAUUUCAGGACAGCAUUCUAGCAUUGGCAAACCCCAUCAGCUGUGUGUCCUGUUCCAGCCAUAGAUUUCCUGGACAAAUUUUGUGCAAGUUUAUAGUAAGUUCAGUACCAUUACAUCAUCAGAAUAGUGUGACCUGGCCAAAUUUUCCUCUGGAUGUUCCUAGCAACCGAGAGCUGUGACAAAAAAUGAAACUAUCUGAAAGUUAAUGGGAUGAGAAGGAGGGAGAAGUGCUUUGAAUUGACUACUUCUUUACAAGUGCUGGAGCUGGAAUGGCUUUCUAGAUGAAAGUUCCUUGAGUUAUGAAAGGAGUACGUAGAUGUGAUUUUUUAAAUUGAUACAGUAUUUUUAUAGAGUUGUCUCUACCCAAAUCUGCUGAGAACUCUGCAGAGUCAGAAACUUUCAGGACUGGGAUACUUACUUGUGUGAAUGACCUGUGGGACUUUCUGAUUUUGCUCUGCUGAGGAACAGGUGGAAGCUGUUGGCUUGGAAGGCUGAAAGAGCACAGCUCGUAGCCAUCCCACCUACUGAAAUGCCUGCGGGGUGGUUUUAACAGAAUUUAAAAAGUGGUAUUAGCAUGACUUCAUAACUGCUGCUAACAUGAGCUACUAGAACUUGCAGCAGUUGGAAGUUCAGCUUCCCGGUGGAUGAUCGUUGCCUCAGGAUGGGUCUCGGGUGACAAGUGACAGGGCAAUUUAUUGGGUGCAGCCUUACACCAGCCUCCGUGAGCCGCUCGUCCCACCACGUGUCACACAGCAGCGUGUGAUGUUGGUGAAGGGGGCCUGCAGUCCUCCUCCAGGCAGGUGUGCUGGAGCCCACCUGGCUUCCCUUUGGCCACUUUGCCCCCAGGACAGCCGAGGCAGGGACAUACCAGCUGUACCAGUCUUAGGGCAGCAUCUGCUGGUUAUUGCAUGGAUCAACAGAAGUGGUUGUCAUGGAAGAGGCUGCUCGCUUUGGCUCCCAGGCGGAGGUACCCAAGGCUGGGGCUGGGGGGGAGCACCCCAUAAACGCACCUGUAGCAGUCGCUCAGGAGGGAAUGGCAAAGAGCGAGGAACUCAAACUCUGGCUCCUGCUGCACUCCGGGGGCUCUCCGUGAAGUUGGGCAAGUCCGGAGCCGGAUGGCUGCGGUUCUUUCCCGAGGGCUGGGGUGG